rnacentral:lncRNA from 1 species
AUGAUUUGCCACUUGGAGAGGAUUGAAGCCAGGCAGGAGUAUCUCUCUAGCACUUCCUCCCAGCCAACGAGCAGCACUUGGAAUUCAUAUCCAGGUAUCCUGUCACCAUUGGGCAGGCGCGAGGAGCAUUUUCUGCUUUUUUGGCUUUUUAAAGGUGUAUUUAUUUUAUUUGAAAGGCAGAGCUACAGAGAGGCAGAGGCAGAGAGACAGAGACAAAGAGAGGUCUUCCAUCCACUGGAUCACUCCCCAGAUGGCCACAACGGCCAGAGCUGCGCCUAUCCAAAGCCAAGAGCCAGGAGCCUCUUCUGGGUCUCCCAAAGGGUGCAGGGGCCCAAAGACUUGAGCCAACUUCUACUGCUUUCCCAGGCCACAGCAGAGAGCUGUAUUAGAAGUGGAACAGCUGGGACUGGAACUGGCACCCAUAUGGGAUGCUGGCACUUCAGGCAGUGGCUUUACCCGCUACGUAACAGCACCGGCUUGUUUGUUUGUUUGUUUCUUUUGAAAUAUUUAUUUAUUUAUUUAUUUGAAAGUCAAGGUUACACAGGGAAAGAAGAAGAGUCAGAGAGAGAGAGAGAGAGAGAGAGAGAGGUCUUCCAUCUGCUGGUUCACUCCCCAGUUGGCCACAACAGCUGGAGCUGCACCUAUCCGAAACCAGCAGCCAGGAGCUUCUUCCGGGUCUCCCAUGCGAGGGCAGGGGCCCAAGGGUUUGGACCAUCUUCCACUGCUUUCCCAGGCCAUAGCAGAGAGCUGGAUUGGAAGUGGAGCAGCUGGGAUUUGAAUCUGUGCCCAUAUGGGAUGCUGGCACUGCAGGUGGCAGCUUUAUCCACUACACCACAACCCUCCUACCCCCUGGGCCCCUGUUCUUUCUCUAAGUCUCACCCCUCCUGUAUCACAGGAUCUUAUAACAUGAGGACAUAUUUGGCAGCGUUAUCAAAUAAAGAAUGCAACAGGACUCCAGAAUUGUGUUAUGUGUGUGCAUGUGUCUUCCUCCAAUUUAUAUCUCUGAUGUAUUGA